GAGAAAAGACUUGAGAGGUUUAUAGUAAAAAAUUGCUAAUUUAUUGUAUAUAUAAAAUAUUAUACCCAAGGGUUCGAAUCCCUUUUUCCUCU
rnacentral:tRNA from 1 species